AACAAACGCUGGCGGCGUGCCUAAUACAUGCAAGUCGAACGGGGAAAGCUUUCGGGUGAGUACUAGUGGCGCACGGGUGAGUAACGCGUGGAUAAUCUGCCUUAGAGUGGGGGAUAACUAGUCGAAAGAUUAGCUAAUACCGCAUAAGACCACAAGAACUGCGGUUCAAGAGGUCAAAGGUUUUUCGCUCUAAGAUGAGUCCGCGUAAGAUUAGCUAGUUGGUGAGGUAACGGCUCACCAAGGCAACGAUCUUUAACUGGUCUGAGAGGAUGAUCAGUCACACUGGAACUGAGGCUCGGUCCAGACUCCUACGGGAGGCAGCAGUAGGGAAUAUUGCACAAUGGAGGAAACUCUGAUGCAGCGACGCCGCGUGAGGGAUGAAGGCCUUCGGGUCGUAAAGCUCUGUCGCAGGGGAAUAACACAAUGAAUGUACCCUGUAAGAAAGGAUCGGCUAACUUCGUGCCAGCCGCCGCGGUAACAC
rnacentral:rRNA from 1 species